rnacentral:lncRNA from 1 species
AGGGCCCCAGAGGGCCUGGACCCAGACUCCUCUCUGACCCAUCCUGUUCCAUCAGGGUGAACGUGGAUCCCCUGGCCCAGUGGGACCCCAGGGGCUGCCUGGAGUGGCUGGACGUCCUGGAGCCGAGGGGCCUGAAGGGCCACCGGGACCUGUUGGCCGCCGAGGAGAGAAGGGGGAACCUGGUCGGCCCGGGGACCCUGCAGUGGGACCUGAUGGGACCGGGGCAAAAGGAGAGAAGGGAGAUGUGGGGCCCACUGGGCCCAGAGGAGCUGCGGGAGUCAAAGGGGAGAGGGUGAGUAAAGAGCCUCUAGAGGGAUAGGGCAGGUGAGAGUUGCGUUCCCUGACUUCUGAUCCUUCCACCACAGGGUCCACCUGGCUUGGUUCUUCCUGGAGACCCUGGCCCCAAGGGAGACCCUGGAGACCGGGUGAAUAAAUAUGGGGUUGGGUAGUGUGAAAGAAGGAGA